rnacentral:rRNA from 1 species
UACAGAGAGUGCAAGCGUUAAUCGGAAUUACUGGGCGUAAAGCGCGCGUAGGUGGAUAUUUAAGUCGGAUGUGAAAUCCCUGGGCUUAACCUAGGAAUUGCAUCUGAUACUGGAUAUCUCGAGUGUGGUAGAGGGAAGUGGAAUUUCCGGUGUAGCGGUGAAAUGCGUAGAUAUCGGAAAGAACACCAGUGGCGAAGGCGGCUUCCUGGAUCAACACUGACACUGAGGCGCGAAAGCGUGGGGAGCAAACAGG